rnacentral:rRNA from 1 species
GGCGGACGGGUGAGUAAUGUAUAGGAACUUGCCUAGUAGUGGGGGACAACGUGUGGAAACGCACGCUAAUACCGCAUACGCUCUACGGAGGAAAGCGGGGGAUCUUCGGACCUCGUGCUACUAGAUGGGCCUAUAUUGGAUUAGCUAGUUGGUAGGGUAAAGGCUUACCAAGGCGACGAUCCAUAGCUGGUUUGAGAGAAUGAUCAGCCACACUGGGACCGAGACACGGCCCAG